CUAUAAGGCAGUAUUGUAAAGAAAAGGCAUUACUUAAUUAAUUUGGUUUUUUUGUUGUUAGAGAACAGGCAAGAGAGAGGUUUCUUAUUUCAGUGCAAUACAUCUCCCCAAAGGCUACCCAUAAAUGCUCACUUCGACCUAACAGACCUGGUAGAGAGCAGGAGGAGCCUGGGAAGAAGACCCAGCCCCUGAGUCUCGAGGGAUGAGCCUGCUGCAGAAAUGGAGCGGCCAGGACAGCCGUCAGGGAAGAGAACACUCCACCGGAGGACACCCUGACAGUCAGAGGGUCACACACUGAGCUUCCUUUUCGUUCACCUCACGAGUCAUUGUUCCCCAGAAGUCCGCACUACUUUGCUAAGUUGUGAAUGAUGUCUGUAAGAUUGCCUGCCCGGCCUUAUACACUCACAGGAGUGGCCUUUGCCAGUCACUAACCCGUGUGAACUCGAGUUUCAGUGUCAUAACUGCUGUGAGUGUGAACCAGUUGUGCCGCUGAAGGAGUUGUGUUUGGGCUAAGCCUUCCCUGCAAGGGGGAUGUCGCAGAGGACAGCUCCUGUGUCAGAGCUGGUGGGUCCUGGAGACCACUGUCGGAAAGGAGAUGGCGGGCCCCAAAGCAAGGUGUCGAAUCCCAUAUGUUAUUUCCUAUGUUGAGUUUCCAAGACUGGGGAGAAAAAAAAAAAGGUACAUUUCUUUGGCUCCUAGUGCAGAUCAUUAGUUGUAUGAGAUUUAGAGCUCUCUCAGCACCUCGCCUCAAGGUACAAACGCCACCGAUCUCCUUACUACAAGUAACAGUUUCCUCCCACGGGAGUGUUGGAGAUGAGAAAGUGUAUGACAGCGUACUGGAAAUAAUGGGUUGCAAGAGGAAACGGGUCACAGAUAUAUUCUCACCUAGCUGUGAAGUGCCUUUAUUUUCAGCACAGAGCACAAAUGUCAGACCAACUCCAAUUUGAUGUUCUGUUUCCCUGUGUUUUCCAUCAGAUUGUACUCCUAAAACUUUACAGGCCAUCAGAAGAAAUGCUGUUUGUUUUGUUUUACAAGCUUGAUUUAAGAUGGGAUAGGAGGGAAGAGUAUAAUUGCUCUCCUCGCCUAGGAAUAAUUAUAGUUAAAACAAGGUAGUAUAACGCAGUGCUCAGCAUCCGACAUGCCUCAGUCCACCUUUUACUGAGUUCCUGCCACAUGUCAGGUACUGCACUCCACAGUGGAGACCACGCAGCGACCUCAUAAGAGACUCACCAGCUUCUGCUUCUGGCGAUUUAAUGUGAAAAUAUAGGGUACAGUUAUCACUUUCACUUAUAUGUAUUAUACAGUUUUUCAAGGACCUUCUUUACCUGGAACUUAUUAAGAAUCUGUCAGUGAACAUCCUGUCUUCCUAUAAGUAUGCAUCACUUAGCCUGUUGAUAGCUUAAAGAACACCUUAUGUUAAGUAUGGAGUCAUAUAUUCCACCGUAUAGAUUAUUUUUCCAUAUGCUAGCCAGGUAGAGAUUACUCAAGAGUUCUCUCAGACUGUUAAACCGCACACGGUUUUGGACCCCUUCUGCUCCACCGCAGGGAGCGAGGAAGAAAGUAUUAAAGCUCACUUUGCCCUUCCCAUAUGCUUCUCAAAAGCCUAUGUAAACAUGUCUUAAUGAAUGUUGUUGAAAGCCAUGUAAAUAGUGAAAAACAUAAAUUUCUAAUACAGUUUAAGGGAAGAAAAAGCUUAUGAAUCAUCACUAGCCACUUAAUAUCUAUUUCUUAUACCUUUUCAAUACAUUUGAACAAAUAUAUAGUUUCUAGCACUAUUUUUAUACUAGAAUAAACAGUUAUUACUAUGUAUAUUAUGUUUAGCAUUUAAGUCAUUUUAAAUAAUUGUGAAUGUUGGUUUCUUGUCUUUCCUCUCCCCCACCAUGAAAACCAUUUCAUAUGACUUUGACAAAAUCACUUUAAAAGAACACUUACCCACCUAUGAUGCCAAUGAUCAGGGUGGUUUUUCCAUUGUGCAGACUCAUCACUUGUCAGCUGUUUCCUCAUUUUGCCAUGCUGUGUAAAAAUAAAAAAAAGAAUUAACAAGUAA
ensembl:lncRNA